CACAUAAGGUUGCGCACAGUUCUUUUGCACACCCCUUCCACGCCUACAUACACACAUACACACGGGGGGUGCAAGAGGGAGAGGGGCUUUCGGCUCCUCUUCUUUCCCUCUCCCGCACCCACCCCGCCGGAUAGCAUGCGUGGAAGGAGUAUCCCGCGCUCCAUCGCCUUAUCAGUGAAGUGCCGUAUAUCAUUAUAUUUCUUUUAAUACUUCGCUUUAAUCUAUCUUUUACUUUGACCAAAUUUGUUAUACAUUGACAAAGUGCAUGACUACCAACACUAUCUUUUUGACGAAAGAUCUAUAUUUUCUGAAGCCACAUUUCUGCCGCCAUUAGCUCUUUUCCUUUUUUUUCUUUUUUCUUUGUAAAGUUGUUUCCCUCUAUAAUCUAGCAUGUCCAUUCAUGACUCGAGAGGGUCUACUCUCUCUCAAACCACUCCUGUAAUUCUAAACACUGCUAAAAAAAACUAUUAUUUUGCAUGCCCUCUUAUCGAAUGACGAAAAAUCUCUGAAUCUUAUUUCAUCUGCUUUCUCUCCUUUUUCCGAAUUUGGUGACGACGAUAAGAUGGAAUUCCAGAAUGACGACGAUGAUGCAUCUAAUAACAAUUUCUCUUAAAACAUCGGCAAAAAAACGCAAAGCUGAGGAAUCUAGUGACAAAAUACUUUCAGCAAAUAAGCAAAAUAACACGCCAUCAAGUGAAUUUGACGUCCUUGAAAGAGAAUAUUGGAAAGAGGCAUUAUCCGCAAUGUAUCUUUGGACCUCUCUGACAAUGAGAUUCAAAAUAUCGAUUUCACAAUUCCGAUCACCUCGAUCAAGCGAUCGAACAGAAAAACCCUCUUUUUUUAGUUUUGACCCUCUGUGCUAUGUGAGUUGUGUGUGUAUGUGUGUGCGUGCGUGUGUAUGUACGUGCGCACGUACAUAAUUUUGAAUUUCUAAUCGCAAAAAAAUCUGUACAUAUUGAUUAUGUGAAGUAUUCAAUAUCAGUAAAUCUCCGAAAUAGUAUCUUACUCAAAGCUCAAUUUCUGAAUUAUCUAGUUUUUUAUAACAUUUUGUAUAUUUUUUUCUCUAAAGAGACCAACUUUUUUUU